CAGAAUUUUCAUUUCUCCAAUUUCUUUCCUCUCUCAAGAAACCUUGCCCUAACUUAAGCUCUCACUUCUCUCUAGAUUUCCAGCAUAUUCCACCGUUAGAGUUGUGAUUUGAUUGCAUAUUAUUGCUCCUGGAGUCAAGGGCUACGAAACCAUCCGAUUGGUUUCUCGUUUCGUUGGGUUCUGUUCAUUUUCGAACGUUGUAAGAGGGUACUGUAGAGCAUCUGUGAACUACAUUAAGCAUCCCACCAGGUAAGGGGAGUUAGUUAUAUUUCUUUGAAUUGUUUAUAUGUUAUGUAUGUAUGGUGAAUUUAAUUUGGUGUGCUGUUUUGGAAUUUCAUGUUAAGUUUUAUGAGAUAUUGGGGAAGAGAGAAGGGGUCCUGGAGUUUCAAGGUGGUCACUAUUACAAAUUUUUCUUUUGCUUAGGUUAGAUAAGAGGAAAAAGGGUGUGAUUGCGCAUGGAAAACAAAAUACACAUUAUUACCGUAAUGCGCUAUUGUGUGUGAAUGAACAUUGUGCUGAGAGGGAUAAAUGCAAUUAAAUAGAGAAAAUAUGGGUGCAGUGGAAUAUGUAUAAAUGAAAGAAAAGAGAAGAGAGCAAUAAAGUUUUAUGAGUGUAGUUUAGGUGUUAAGCAUGGAAGCGUGUACAGGGGUAGUUGUAGAGGUAGGGGAACUAAUUGUUGUAUAUGAGUGGGUCCGUGAAAAGAGAUAGUAGGAAGGGGUAUAGGUAGGUUUAUUAUGUUACAGUGGGUGUUGAAGGAAAAAGGAGACGGUUACAUCUUAUUUUUUUUUUUUGUUCCAGGUUUGAAUGGAUACAUGAGAAAUAAUAUGGAAAAUGGGUAUUUUAAUAUUCUAUUUCAUUGGAGAAUGGUUAUUAAUAUAGACAUAGGUGAAUGAUGUGGUGGCAGGUUGAAUGUGAAUUGGAAAGUCAAGUUUUAGGUGAGAAAAAGAAGAUAGAAAAGAGAAAUGGGUAGAGAAUUAGGGUGUAAACUCACUGUGACACGUUGCAGUAUUAAUGGAAUAAAAGUUUUGGAGUGUUAUGGAGAAUGAAGAGUGAUGUACGAAAUGGAUAAAGUUUGUGAUUGGGAAAGUUGUAAAUGGUGGGCCAUGAGUGGUUAAAACAAGUGAGGUAGAGAUAUAUGGAUGGGUUGUUUAUUCAGGGGAUGGAAUUUUGCAUAGAAGUUACAUGGGAAGAAAGAUAUAAGGUUUUAUAAAACAAAAAGGGGAAGAGGGAGUUAAAAGAAAAAAAAAAAAAAACAAAGUUG